GGGGAAUUUUCCGCAAUGGGCGAAAGCCUGACGGAGCAAUACCGCGUGAGGGAGGAAGGCUUUUGGGUUGUAAACCUCUUUUCUUAAGGAAGAAGAUCUGACGGUACUUAAGGAAUCAGCAUCGGCUAACUCCGUGCCAGCAGCCGCGGUAAUACGGAGGAUGCAAGCGUUAUCCGGAAUUAUUGGGCGUAAAGCGUCCGCAGGUGGCCUUUCAAGUCUGCUGUCAAAGACCAGAGCUCAACUCUGGGCCGGCGGUGGAAACUGGGAGGCUAGAGUACGGUAGGGGUAGAGGGAAUUCCCAGUGUAGCGGUGAAAUGCGUAGAGAUUGGGAAGAACACCAGUGGCGAAGGCGCUCUACUGGACCGGAACUGACACUCAGGGACGAAAGCUAGGGGAGCGAAAGGGAUUAGAUACCCCUGUAGUC
rnacentral:rRNA from 1 species